rnacentral:rRNA from 1 species
AUGGCUGAUGCAGUCAUUCUGUCAGCCAUAAUAUAGUUUGGCGUUGCUGUAGGGACUGAAGCAAUGAACCAGGCUAGCUCACAUUUUAAAAAGUUUAUUACACAGCUAACAGAUCUUCAAGGCAGCAUGGGUCGGAUCAGAAGGGAGCUCAGGUUAAUGCAUGGAUUUCUUUGUCAAGUGAUCAUACAGAAUCUGAAGAAUCUAACCUAUGAAAUUUGGGUUCAAGAAUUGAGAAAGGUCGCCCGAGGGAUUGAGGACAUUGUCGAUGAGUAUUUGUAUCAUGUUAUUUAUAAACACUAG